rnacentral:rRNA from 1 species
CCUACGGGAGGCAGCAGUGAGGAAUAUUGGUCAAUGGACGAGAGUCUGAACCAGCCACGUAGCGUGAGGGAUGACUGCCCUAUGGUUUGUAAGCUUCUUUUAUAUGGGAAUAAAAUGUUCCACGUGUGGGAUUUUGUCUGUACCAUAUGAAUACGGAUCGGCUACCUCCGUGCCAGCAGCCUCGGUAAUACGGAGGAUCCGAGCGUUAUCCGGAUUUAUUGGGUUUAAAGGGAGCGUAGGUGGAUUGUUAAGUCAGUUGUGAAAGUUUGCGGCUCAACCGGAAAAUUGCAGUUGAAACUGGCAGUCUUGAGUACAGUAGAGGUGAGCGGAAUUCGUGGUGUAGCGGUGAAAUGCUUAGAUAUCACGAAGAACUCCGAUUGCGAAGGCAGUUCACUGGACUGCAACUGACACGGAGGCUCGAAAGUGUGGGUAUCAAACAGGAUUAGAUACCCGGGUAGUC